CGUUGAUUUUUUUGUAAUAUUUUUGGAAAGGAGUUUUUUUUUUUACUUUUGCAAGCAGACGAGCUUAAGGCUUCUCUCCUUCACUGUCGUUCAUGGAAUAUAAGCAAGGGACAUAGCCAAACCGCUGUCCAUUGCUAGAGUACUCCUCAGUGUGAAAUAGAUUAUGUCAAUCAGGUUCAACCGUGAACAAAAAAGUCGGUACGUACUUUGUUUUAACCACCGACAUAGCCGCGACGAUUGAUGCGAUUUCAGGCGACCUACUCUUUAAGACACGACGAACUUUUUCAUCGCUUUCAAUAACUAAUUAUUAUUUAUAACUUUUAAUUUACAAUAUAAUUGGUUUCGUUUGAAUACACCGUGUAUAAUAAAAAAAAACAGUAAACCUUA